GUAAGGCGCGCGUAGGUGGUUUUUUAAGUUGGAUGUGAAAGCCCUGGGCUCANCNUAGGAACUGCAUCCAAAACUAGAUAACUAGAGUACGAAAGAGGGAAGUAGAAUUCACAGUGUAGCGGUGGAAUGCGUAGAUAUUGUGAAGAAUACCAAUGGCGAAGGCAGCUUCCUGGUUCUGUACUGACACUGAGGUGCGAAAGCGUGGGUAGCGAACAGGAUUAGAUACCCUGGUAGUCCACGCCGUAAACGAUGACAACUAGCUGUUGGGAGACAAGAUCUCUCAGUGGCGCAGCUAACGCUUUAAGUUGUCCGCCUGGGGAGUACGGCCGCAAGGUUAAAACUCAAAUGAAUUGACGGGGACCCGCACAAGCGGUGGAGCAUGUGGUUUAAUUCGAUGCAACGCGAAAAACCUUACCUACUCUUGACAUACUUGGAAGCUCUUGUAAUGAGAGUGUGCUUUUAGAGCCAAGAUACAGGUGCUGCAUGGCUGUCGUCAGCUCGUGUCGUGAGAUGUUGGGUUAAGUUCCAUAACGAGCGCAACCCUUACCCUUAUUUGCCAGCGGUUCGGCCGGGAACCAUAAGGGGACUGCCGGUGACAAACCGGAGGAAGGUGAGGACGACGUCAAGUCAUCAUGGCCCUUACGAGUAGGGCUACACACGUGCUACAAUGGGGAAUACAGACGGACGCUAAAGCGUGAGCUGGUGCUAAUCCUAAAAAAUUUCUCGUAGUCCGGAUUGCAGUCUGCAACUCGACUGCAUGAAGUCGGAAUCGCUAGUAAUCGUGAAUCAGCAUGUCGCGGUGAACACGUUCUCGGGUCUUGUACACACCGCCCGUCACACCAUGGAAGUGUGUUGCACCAGAAGUAGGUAGUCUAACCUUCGGGAAGGCGCUUACCACGGUGUGAUCCAUGACUGGGGUGAAGUCGUAACAAGGUAGCCGUANUCCCGCGGCCA
rnacentral:rRNA from 1 species